rnacentral:rRNA from 2 species
UGGGGAAUAUUGCACAAUGGGCGCAAGCCUGAUGCAGCAACGCCGCGUGAGUGAUGAAGGUUUUCGGAUCGUAAAACUCUGUCCUUGGGGAAGAUAAUGACGGUACCCAAGGAGGAAGCCCCGGCUAACUACGUGCCAGCAGCCGCGGUAAUACGUAGGGGGCGAGCGUUAUCCGGAUUUAUUGGGCGUAAAGGGUACGUAGGCGGCUUGAUAAGUCAGAUGUGAAAGGCGGUGGCUCAACCACCGUAAGCAUUUGAAACUGUCAAGCUUGAGUACUGGAGAGGAAAGUGGAAUUCCUAGUGUAGCGGUGAAAUGCGUAGAUAUUAGGAGGAACACCAGUGGCGAAGGCGACUUUCUGGACAGACACUGACGCUGAGGUACGAAAGCGUGGGGAGCAAACAGG